ACUCAAAUGAAUUGACGGGGGCCCGCACAAGCGGUGGAUCAUGUGGUUUAAUUCGAAGCAACGCGAAGAACCUUACCUGGAUUUGACAUCCUCUGACAGCUCUAGAGAUAGAGGGUUCGUAGCAAUACGACAGAGAGACAGGUGCUGCAUGGCUGUCGUCAGCUCGUGUUGUGAAAUGUUGGGUUAAGUCCCGCAACGAGCGCAACCCCUGCCUUUGGUUGCCAUCAUUAAGUUGGGCACUCCAGAGGGACUGCCGUCGUUAAGACGGAGGAAGGUGGGGAUGACGUCAAGUCCUCAUGGCCGUUAUAUCCAGGGCGACACACGUGAUACAAUGGUUGGUACAGAGGGUAGCGAAGCAGCAAUGCGGAGCCAAUCUCAAAAAGCCAAUCUCAGUUCGGAUUGGAGUCUGCAACUCGACUCCAUGAAGUUGGAAUCGCUAGUAAUCGCGGAUCAGCACGCCGCGGUGAAUACGUUCCCGGGCCUUGUACACACCGCCCGU
rnacentral:rRNA from 1 species